GACGAAGCCCUGGGUCGCAAACGGGAUUAGAUACCCCGGUAGUCCAGGGUGUAAACGCUGCAGACUUGGUGUUGGGGGCCCUACGUGGGCGUUCAGUGCCGGAGAGAAGUUGUUAAGUCUGCUACUUGGGGAGUACGUCCGCAAGGAUGAAACUUAAAGGAAUUGGCGGGGGAGCACCGCAACGGGAGGAGCGUGCGGUUUAAUUGGAUCCAACACCGGAAAACUCACCAGCGGCGACUGUUACAUGAAAGUCAGGCCGAUGACCUUACUAGAUUUUCAGAGAGGUGGUGCAUGGCCGUCGUCAGUUCGUACCGUAAGGCGUUCUCUUAAGUGAGAUAACGAACGAGACCCUC
rnacentral:rRNA from 1 species